CGAAAGGCUAGGACAAUGGUGGGCUUACGAAGCGUGUCAGAUCUGGAAGGAAGCAGCACUAAGUAGGUGCCGCCAUGUGUCUGAAUAAAACCUUAUAAUA
rfam:Enterococcus rivorum strain LMG 25899 25, whole genome shotgun sequence.